AUUGAACGCUGGCGGCAGGCCUAACACAUGCAAGUCGAGCGGAUGACGGGAGCUUGCUCCUUGAUUCAGCGGCGGACGGGUGAGUAAUGCCUAGGAAUCUGCCUGGUAGUGGGGGACAACGUUUCGAAAGGAACGCUAAUACCGCAUACGUCCUACGGGAGAAAGCAGGGGACCUUCGGGCCUUGCGCUAUCAGAUGAGCCUAGGUCGGAUUAGCUAGUAGGUGAGGUAAUGGCUCACCUAGGCGACGAUCCGUAACUGGUCUGAGAGGAUGAUCAGUCACACUGGAACUGAGACACGGUCCAGACUCCUACGGGAGGCAGCAGUGGGGAAUAUUGGACAAUGGGCGAAAGCCUGAUCCAGCCAUGCCGCGUGUGUGAAGAAGGUCUUCGGAUUGUAAAGCACUUUAAGUUGGGAGGAAGGGCAGUAAGCUAAUACCUUGCUGUUUUGACGUUACCGACAGAAUAAGCACCGGCUAACUCUGUGCCAGCAGCCGCGGUAAUACAGAGGGUGCAAGCGUUAAUCGGAAUUACUGGGCGUAAAGCGCGCGUAGGUGGUUCGUUAAGUUGGAUGUGAAAGCCCCGGGCUCAACCUGGGAACUGCAUCCAAAACUGGCGAGCUAGAGUAUGGUAGAGGGUGGUGGAAUUUCCUGUGUAGCGGUGAAAUGCGUAGAUAUAGGAAGGAACACCAGUGGCGAAGGCGACCACCUGGACUGAUACUGACACUGAGGUGCGAAAGCGUGGGGAGCAAACAGG
rnacentral:rRNA from 1 species